AACGAACGCUGGCGGCGCGUCUAAUACAUGCAAGUAGAACGCUAAAGGAGGAGCUUGCUUCUCUGGUAGAGUGGCGGACUGGUGAGUAACACGUAGGUAAUCUACCCUGUAGAUGGGGAUAACUGCUAGAAAUGGCAGCUAAUACCGCAUACAAUCGGCAUAUCCCUAGCGUUGAUUAGAAAAGGACACUACGACUUCUCUUGGAGAUGAGCUUGCGUUGUAUUAGGGAGUUGGUGGGGAAAAGGCUCACCAAGGCGACGAUAGAUAGCCGGCCUGAGAGGGUGAUCGGCCACACUGGGACUGAGACACGGCCCAGACUCCUACGGGAGGCAGCAGUAGGGGAUCUUCGGGAAUGGACGGAAGUCUGAACGAGCAACGCCGCGUGAGUGAAGAAGGUUUUCGGAUCGGAAAGCUCUGUUGUAAGAGAAGAACGAGGGUGAGAGUGGAAAGUUCACACUGUGACGGUAACUUACCAGAAAGGGACGGCUAACUACGUG
rnacentral:rRNA from 1 species